rnacentral:rRNA from 1 species
CCUACGGGGGGCAGCAGUAGGGAAUCUUCCACAAUGGGCGAAAGCCUGAUGGAGCAACGCCGCGUGGGUGAAGAAGGUCUUCGGAUUGUAAACCUCUGUCUUUGGGGAAGAAAAUGACGGUACCCAAAGAGGAAGCUCCGGCUAACUACGUGCCAGCAGCCGCGGUAAUACGUAGGGAGCGAGCGUUGUCCGGAAUUACUGGGUGUAAAGGGAGCGUAGACGGGCGAGAAAGUUGAAUGUUAAAUCUACCGGCUUAACUGGUAGCUGCGUUCAAAACUUCUUGUCUUGAGUGAAGUAGAGGCAGG